rnacentral:rRNA from 1 species
GACGAACGCUGGCGGCGUGCUUAACACAUGCAAGUCGAACGGAAAGGCCCUGCUUGCAGGGUGCUCGAGUGGCGAACGGGUGAGUAACACGUGGGUGAUCUGCCCCUUACUUUGGGAUAAGCCUGGGAAACUGGGUCUAAUACUGGAUAGGACCAUGCUGUAGGUGAUGUGGUGGAAAGAUUAGUUUCGGUAAGGGAUGAGCUCGCGGCCUAUCAGCUUGUUGGUGGGGUAAUGGCCUACCAAGGCGUCGACGGGUAGCCGGCCUGAGAGGGUGGACGGCCACAUUGGGACUGAGAUACGGCCCAGACUCCUACGGGAGGCAGCAGUGGGGAAUAUUGCACAAUGGGCGCAAGCCUGAUGCAGCGACGCCGCGUGGGGGAUGACGGCCUUCGGGUUGUAAACUCCUUUCAGCCAUGACGAAGCCCUUGUGGUGACGGUAGUGGUAGAAGAAGCACCGGCUAACUACGUGCCAGCAGCCGCGGUAAUACGUAGGGUGCGAGCGUUGUCCGGAAUUACUGGGCGUAAAGAGCUCGUAGGUGGUCUGUCGCGUCAUUUGUGAAAGCCCGGGGCUUAACUCCGGGUUGGCAGGUGAUACGGGCAUGACUGGAGUACUGUAGGGGAGACUGGAAUUCCUGGUGUAGCGGUGAAAUGCGCAGAUAUCAGGAGGAACACCGGUGGCGAAGGCGGGUCUCUGGGCAGUAACUGACGCUGAGGAGCGAAAGCAUGGGUAGCGAACAGG